AGAGUUUGAUCCUGGCUCAGGACGAACGCUGGCGGCGCGCCUAACACAUGCAAGUCGAACGAGAGAUGAGGAGCUUGCUCUUCAAAUCGAGUGGCGAACGGGUGAGUAACGCGUGAGGAACCUGCCUCAAAGAGGGGGACAACAGUUGGAAACGACUGCUAAUACCGCAUAAGCCCACGGCUCGGCAUCGAGCAGAGGGAAAAGGAGCAAUCCGCUUUGAGAUGGCCUCGCGUCCGAUUAGCUAGUUGGUGAGGUAACGGCCCACCAAGGCGACGAUCGGUAGCCGGACUGAGAGGUUGAACGGCCACAUUGGGACUGAGACACGGCCCAGACUCCUACGGGAGGCAGCAGUGGGGAUUAUUGCACAAUGGGGGAAACCCUGAUGCAGCGACGCCGCGUGGAGGAAGAAGGUCUUCGGAUUGUAAACUCCUGUUGUUGAGGAAGAUAAUGACGGUACUCAACAAGGAAGUGACGGCUAACUACGUGCCAGCAGCCGCGGUAAAACGUAGGUCACAAGCGUUGUCCGGAAUUACUGGGUGUAAAGGGAGCGCAGGCGGGAGAACAAGUUGGAAGUGAAAUCCAUGGGCUCAACCCAUGAACUGCUUUCAAAACUGUUUUUCUUGAGUAGUGCAGAGGUAGGCGGAAUUCCCGGUGUAGCGGUGGAAUGCGUAGAUAUCGGGAGGAACACCAGUGGCGAAGGCGGCCUACUGGGCACCAACUGACACUGAGGCACGAAAGCGUGGGGAGCAAACAGGAUUAGAUACCUCUGUAGUCCUGGCAGUAAACGGUGCACGCUUGGUGUGCGGGGAAUCGACCCCCUGCGUGCCGGAGCUAACGCGUUAAGCGUGCCGCCUGGGGAGUACGGUCGCAAGAUUAAAACUCAAAGAAAUUGACGGGGACCCGCACAAGCGGUGGAGUAUGUGGCUUAAUUCGAUGCAACGCGAAGAACCUUACCUGGGCUUGACAUGUAAUGAACAACAUGUGAAAGCGUGCGACUCUUCGGAGGCGUUACACAGGUGCUGCAUGGCCGUCGUCAGCUCGUGUCGUGAGAUGUUUGGUUAAGUCCAGCAACGAGCGCAACCCCUGUUGCCAGUUACCAUCGAGUAAUGUCGGGGACUCUGGCGAGACUGCCCAGAUCAACUGGGAGGAAGGUGGGGACGACGUCAGGUCAGUAUGGCCCUUAUGCCCAGGGCUGCACACGUACUACAAUGCCCAGUACAGAGGGGGCCGAAGCCGCGAGGCGGAGGAAAUCCUGAAAACUGGGCCCAGUUCGGACUGUAGGCUGCAACCCGCCUACACGAAGCCGGAAUCGCUAGUAAUGGCGCAUCAGCUACGGCGCCGUGAAUACGUUCCCGGGUCUUGCACUCACCGCCCGUCA
rnacentral:rRNA from 1 species